rnacentral:rRNA from 1 species
UACAGAGGUGGCAAGCGUUGUUCGGAAUUACUGGGCGUAAAGGGCGCGUAGGCGGCCCUCUAAGUCAGACGUGAAAUCCCCCGGCUUAACCUGGGAACUGCGUCUGAUACUGGAGGGCUUGAGUAUGGGAGAGGGAUGUAGAAUUCCAGGUGUAGCGGUGAAAUGCGUAGAUAUCUGGAGGAACACCGGUGGCGAAGGCGGGUCUCUGGGCCGAUACUGACGCUGAGGAGCGAAAGCGUGGGGAGCGAACAGG